rnacentral:rRNA from 1 species
AAUGGGAAGGAAAAAACUAACAAGGAUUCCCCUAGUAACUGCGAGUGAAGCGGGAAGAGCUCAAAUUUAAAAUCUGGCAGUUCUGCUGUCCGAAUUGUAUUCUGGAGAAGUGUUUUCCGCACCGGACCGUGUAUAAGUCUCUUGGAACAGAGCGUCAUAGAGGGUGAGAAUCCCGUCUUUGACACGGACUCCCGGAGCUUUGUGAUGCGCUCUCAAAGAGUCGAGUUGUUUGGGAAUGCAGCUCAAAAUGGGUGGUAAAUUCCAUCUAAAGCUAAAUAUUGGCGAGAGACCGAUAGCGAACAAGUACCGUGAGGGAAAGAUGAAAAGCACUUUGGAAAGAGAGUUAAACAGUACGUGAAAUUGUUGAAAGGGAAACGCUUGAAGUCAGUCGCGUCUGUUGGAACUCAGCCUUGCUUGCCGCUUGGUGUAUUUUCCUGCUGACGGGCCAGCAUCGAUUUUGACUGCCGGACAAGGGCCUGUGGAAUGUGGCAUCUUCGGGUGUGUUAUAGCCAUGGGUCGUAUACGGCAGUUGGGAUCGAGGACCGCAUUUGAGGAUGCUGGCAUAAUGGCUUUAAGCGACCCGUCUUGAAACACGGACCAAGGAGUCUAACAUGCCCGCGAGUGUUUGGGUGGAAAACCCGAGCGCGUAAUGAAAGUGAAAGUUGAGACCUCUGUCGUGGAGGGCAUCGACGCCCGGACCUGAUCUUCGGUGACGGAUCUGAGGUAGAAGGCGUAAAC